GACGAACGCUGGCGGCGUGCUUAACACAUGCAAGUCGAACGAAGUGGCGAACGGGUGAGUAACGCGUAAUAAACCUGCCCUUCAGAGGGGGACAACAGUUGGAAACGACUGCUAAUACCGCAUACUGAAGGAGGGGCUUGCGUCGGAUUAGCUCGUUGGAGGGGAAAAGGCCCACCUAGGCGAGGAUCAGUAGCCGGUCUGAGAGGAGGAACUGCCACAUUGGGACUGAGACACGGCCCAGACUCCUACGGGAGGCAGCAGUGGGGAAUCUUCCGCAAUGGACGAAAGUCUGACGGAGCAACGCCGCGUGAGUGAUGACGGCCUUCGGGUUGUAAAGCUCUGUUAAUCGGGACGCGGUACCGGAAUAGAAAGCCACGGCUAAAUACGUGCCAGCAGCCGCGGUAAUUC
rnacentral:rRNA from 1 species